GCACAACAAAUCGUGAAAGCAAGUCUGUGCUGCCUCAUCGUAGUGCUCCUCGUAACGUUCGUGGCUGCCCUGAUAUUCAGUUUCACGAGGUCUGGAGUCCCAGAUGACGACGAAACCCUCGGCCCUCCAAACGAGAUCCACACGCGAAGGCACACUGUUGCUCUCCCGCCUACGACCAAGUUCACACUGUCUUCAUCGCCAGUGA